UGCGAAGGGGGCUAGCGUUGUUCGGAUUUACUGGGCGUAAAGCGCGUGUAGGCGGUUGCCCACGUCGGGGGUGAAAGCCUUGAGCUCAACUCAAGAAAUGCACUCGGUACUGGGUGACUAGAGGACCGGAGAGGAUAGUGGAAUUCCCAGUGUAGUGGUGAAAUACGUAGAGAUUGGGAAGAACACCAGUGGCGAAGGCGGCUAUCUGGACGGUUUCUGACGCUAAGACGCGAAAGCGUGGGGAGCAAACAGG
rnacentral:rRNA from 1 species